AUCUAUGUCAUGCUUACCGCUAAUCCGCUUGUUCGCGAAAAAAUGGCAGAUCCGUUUUUGUUUUCUUUAGCUCAUUAUUAAUUACGUGAUCUACAACUAGAAUUAUUUAAAUAUUCGCUUUAUUUUACUCGGCUUAAACAAACGACAAGCAAUUCUGCGCCGACGCCGGUCAUGCAUGAGCCGUCCAUAUUCGCCAUUUUGUCAUUUGUCCUUUAAGUAAGAAAAUGCAAACAAAACAUUAUUUGCCCUAAACACGCGUUACUCUCAGAUAAUAUUGCCGAAUGCCGACAAAGUGAUCUUGUUUUAUCAAACUGAACUCCGAACUGCAAUUGCAAUGUAAUUUUCCGAUAGCGAAAGUGAGGUUAUGAAAUUGACAUGACAUUUAGUGAAUGCAAUGCAAUGGACAUGUGUUUUGUUGUGUUUCUCAUCAAGAUAAUAGAAGAAUCUAGUGCUCAUACUCAUGAUCUAAUGAGCAAACAGCCCCUGUAAAGGAUGUCUUAUCGGGCUAUGUCUCUACUGAUAAAACGAAUGAAUUGCCUACUUCAAAAGCAGCUUAGCAAGAAGUUUCAACAUCUAAUUGGAAUUUCUCUGGAAAGUUUACAAUGUCCGAUAUUUCUACACAUCUGCCACAAAUUUAUGGAAAUCAAUAUUUAUAGAAACUGAACAUACCUUGAUUAAAUGUAUAUGAAAUGGAUUAUCAUCAUUGAAGAACAUCAACCAGCUGUCGGCAACAUGCAGGUUGACUGAGGAAUCCCCAGUGCGUGGUCACGGACCGUUCCCCAUAUAUCUACUGACUUCAUAUAAAUGAAAGUGUCGCUGAUCUGCACUACCAGCUCGUUCAACGUUACUGACCACAAAGUAAUCCGACAAUCAGAUCGGACCUGGUCAUGUUAGGUACCAAAGGAAAACGAAAAUAUCAUUGGUUCUAUACUGAUGCAUGACUUCGCUCGGAACGCGGCAAGAAUUAACAAUGGAAGAAAAUACUACAGACGUGUUUAUUAACAAUAAAGUUAUUUUUGUUUUUAUGAAAUAGCGAUUGAAUAAAAAUAUUA